UCUGAGGUGUAUGAAGAUACAAGUCAAAGACGAUCAGUCCGGCCCGGUUAAUCGAACAACGGUUCGAGUCGACCGCCGAGUCGUGAGGGCCGACAGAGACUCUUCGAAUCAACCAAGCAAUAAUAAUCACGGGAAUGGAUAUUUUAACCUCCGUCAACGACCUGCUUCUCCUCAAGCUCCGCCAUCUCAGCGCGUUCUCAGGUACUGUGUAAUUUACGAUUUUACACUUCUUCUCCUUGAGUGUUGGGCGCGUUUAAGAUACGCUCACUUGUGAUGGGGUAAUAAUGGGCGGUGUUGGUUAGUUUUUGAUGUCUGGUUUCUUUUGCCACUUGUUUUUGCCUUGGGUUUUUGGUUCAAAUUGGCGUGAGAAAGUGAUUAUAAAGAUUUAGAUCCCAUCAUUUCCAGGCCCCACUUCAUCAUGUCUGAAAUUUCUUAAAAUAAUUUCUUCCCCUGCUUCAAAAGCAGAAAUUACUGAUCUGGAUUAAGCUUAUUUGACUAGUAUAUAUCCUUUGAUGAGAUGAGUUUUCUGAGGUCAUGGAUAAGUGAGAAGAUUUUAGGUUAAGGAAGUACUUUUUUAUUUAAAUUACGAUUUUAAAUAAAAAAAUUGAUAAACAUGCCUCUUUUUAAAUCAAAAUUUAUUUUUAAAUCGAGAUUUUAAUCUAAAUUAAAAAAGUUAAAAUUUUAGUUUUUAGCUUUUUGGAGAUAUGCUUUUUAGUGAAAUUAUCAUUUUAUCUUUAGUAAACUUUUUACUUUGUAACAUCAUAUUUGAAAUACAUAUUUUAAGCAGUUUUAAAGAUAAUUAUAAAACAAAAUAAAAAUAUUUAAAAAUAUUUUCUCACAACUAGACGCAGAACCCCAAGCCCCCUAAUAUUUUAAAAUCUUUUUUUUUUGUGAAAUUUUUAGAAAAUUUUUAUUAGGUCCUCUCAAAUUUUUAAAAAUUCUCAUUGUUCUUUUUAAUUUUUUAAAAAUUUUAAUUAAACUUUCUUAAAAUCUUUGAAAAUUUUCAUUAAUUUUACAAAAAAAUUAAUUAAACCCCAAUUUUUUAAAAAAGAAAUUCAAACUCUCGAAAAUUUUGAAAUUUUAUUAAGCCUCAGAAUUUUAUCUAAGUCCACCACUGCUCGUAUUUUUCAACUUUAAUAGUAAACUAACUCCUGUGAAUAGAGAAAUUGAGAAAUUGGACACUUAAAAAGUCUAGACAAAAAAGACAAACCUUCUCGAUCAUGCUACAAAGAUCAAGGUUGUUCGUUGACUGUUCAUUUUUCCUGGUAGCGUAAAGGUUUGUUCCAAGAAUGGAUAAUCUUUAUAGUUGGUUGCCAAUGCCACGGACACUCCUAAAACCUACACAAAUUUGGAUGGAUAUUUCCAGAUGGGCCUUUUGACUAGUUGGUGAAUGCAUUUAAUGGCUCUCGUAUAUAAAAUAACAUUUCAGCCUCAGAUUUGCUAUUCUAACAUUACAUAACAUUAUAUGAAUGAUGCAUUCAGGGCUGAAUUAUUUUUAAGAGGCUUUUAUUUUGUGCACUCCCCAAUUGGUCAGGUGGGCGCCAGUGUAUGGUUCUGGAGAGAAACAAAUGGUGAGUUUAUGAAUGGCGCCUUCUAUGUUUAGGGUUUUACUUCUUUUUCGUAGAUCUGACUGAAUCUGGUUAUUCAUGCUAAUUUAGUGAUUAAAAAUAGAAACACAUGAAUUAUAGGGCUAUGCUUUUGCUUUUUCACGAGGUGAUCUUAAUAAUAUGGUCACAGAAAAAAUAAAGGAUUGUUCUAGUUUCAAGUAGGUUCUGGUUCACCGCUUCUAUUAUGCGUCUUUGUUUGAAGGUGGUGUUGUUUGAGGGAUCAUUUUUCUAGAUUUUAAGUUAUUACAAAACAUAAUUGGCCAAAUUAGUUAAAAUUACUCUGAAAUACUAGGAGCUGGAUUAUAUUGUUUUCUUUACUUAAAAAAAUGAGUAAAUUAAUUCCAAUACGUUAGAUCAAAGAAUAAGUUAGUCAUUUUAUUAAAAAUUUUAUCUAUUUUUAUUGUUAAAAAUUGUCCUUGUACAUUGGAAUGAGGUAUAUGUGAUAUGUUAAAUAUAACUAUUUGGUUAUUUUGUCAGCCAUUAACAAUGGAAAUGAAUAAAAAUUUUUGAUAAAAAAUUAAUUUGCUCUUUAAUCUAAUAUACAAAAAUUAAUUUACUCUUUUUUAAUAGAAAGGUAAAAUAUAAUUUAAUUUUUAGUACAUGAGUCAACUAUCAAAUAUCAAAUUAUACUUUUGUGAUAUUUCAAAAAGAAAAAAACCUAAUGAGUUAUGUGUUGUAAAUUCUUAUUUUUAUCGAAAAAAGUUUAGGUAAGGAAAGAUUUUAUCAGUUAAGGAUCAAGUAUGCCAUGGUCUUCAUAAAAAGCUGAAAGGGAUGUUUAUAAAUGACUCAUCAAUUGAAACUGAUGAUGGGACUCUAUGUUUGUCGAGGUGUUAAUGUUAAUCCGCCAUCGUAGACGAAAAUCUGUGCUGGAUCUUGUUUUGAGUUUUGAUAAUUAUUAUUACUAUUUGAUGGUAUCCGUAGUUUUAUCUUCUAGUAAUUACUAUUAUUAUAUGUUCUUUUUAUUAAUUAUUAUAGUUUCUCGAUGGUGCUUGUCCUGCUUUAGACUUAGCUCAAUUAAUAUACACGAUUCUUUCCUAGAGCUAUUUAGUCUGAUCAGGGGGACUCCUUGGAAACAUCAACCAUGGAGAAUGGACAGUUUCCUCACCACAUGACUACAAAUAGUCUAUUUUGAUCCCAACUUUAUCAACCGUCGGAUUAUAAAUCUGAUUUAGGAAUCUGGUCCCACUUUCUAAUACCAACCCAUAUUUCAACACGUAACCUUAAUCCACUACAAAAACCAAAAAAUAUGCCUUUAAUCCUACGGCCUUAAAACCACCUGUGCUUUCCUUAUAUCCAAUUCAUCUCUUUCUCUCUAAUAAUCUAAACUUUCCCAUCAAAGCAAGGAAAGAAAUUUAACAACUCUCCUAUUUAAAAGCCAAUCUCAAAGUCUCACCCUUCUCUUUAAGAAAAGCCAAUUAUAAAAAAAGAAAAUCCCUUCCCCCAUUUUCUACGCAAAUACUUGUACAGAUUCUAUCCACUCUCUUUCACCCACCGAUUUAGAAUUCUAGAUCACUCCCAAGGUUAUUUUUGUAAUUCUAGUUUUACAACUUAAACCUUUUAUCUUUUUUUUUUUUCUACUUUUUUAAAAGUUACAGCAGUUGGUUCUUUUUACCAUGAGUUUUUUAAGAUACUUUUUUUUUUAGUAUUUCUAUUCCUCUUAAUUCUUGUUAAUGUUUUCCAGGAACUCUGAGAAUUCCAGUGCUAUGAGAGGCCAAAACAACGGUGGUGUAAGGGGAUUUGCUUCGCCAGAUAGGGGUGCGCACGAUAAGAGAGUUGGUGGUAACAACCAUAACAAUAACAACCACCACCACCACCACCACCACCACCAUCACCACCAUCACUACCACCACCACAACAACAAAUCAGCGGCAUCUUCGGAUAUGACCCAUGACAGCAAAAAAGGAGGCUCAUCUUCAGGAAGCGGUGAGGCAGCUCCACCCAUCGUUUGGCCACCAA
rnacentral:lncRNA from 1 species